GGAAACGAUAUAUUUUACAUUGGGCCUUCCUCAAUGGUUUCCUCGGCUCUUCUCCCAACAACGUCUGGAUCCCCUGCGUAUAUCCAUCGACGCCGUCGACGUGCUCGUCCACUGGUCUCCCCACGCGCGCCAAUUUUCUUCUCGCGCGCCAAGCUCCUUGCCCCACACCGCGCGCGCUGCUGCUAGCUGCUCCUACUGCUUUUACAAAAAGCAGCAGGAUUGAAGGCUCUUGCUGCUGGCAAUCCUUCUGUGGCAGCGAGCAAAUAUUUCAAUCCCCUUCCGCCUCGACGUCGAAGAUCAGUAUGAGUGGAUUGCGGAGGCCAAAGGCUACUCGUGGAUCUGCUGCUCAAGCUAUAAUUCAUGAUCGUUUUGCUUAUAAGCAACUUCAGUUAGACUUGAUUGAACAUAUUUGGAAUAAGUUUGGGAAUUCCAAUUAGAUGACUGCUUCUGGAGUUCUGUGUGGCACUUGGGAGGUGAAUUGCAUCACUGAGUAGAAGCACUGUGAUAGAUGAAUGGAUGAUUACUACCUCUCUCUAUAUAUAUGCAUUCUCAUUACCCAGCGAGAGAGAAAAUGGAUGAUGGAAACCUGUUAUUUAUAUUUAUAUUUUGUAAUGCCUAUGAAUAUGGCUUAUUUUGUUACCUGUUACUUAUGAUUUUCCUAUUACUAUGAAUAUAUUUGCUAUAAUUUAUGGUGUU